rfam:Faecalibacterium prausnitzii L2/6 draft genome.
GCGUUGGUAGCUCAGCUGGAUAGAGUGACUGACUACGAAUCAGUAGGCCGGGGGUUCGAGUCCCUUCCAUCGCA